rnacentral:rRNA from 1 species
AACGAACGCUGGCGGCAGGCUUAACACAUGCAAGUCGAGCGCGCCGCAAGGGGAGCGGCAGACAGGUGAGUAACGCGUGGGAAUCUACCCAUCUCUACGGAAUAACGCAUGGAAACGUGUGCUAAUACCGUAUACGUCCUUCGGGAGAAAGAUUUAUCGGAGAUGGAUGAGCCCGCGUUGGAUUAGCUAGUUGGUGGGGUAAAGGCCUACCAAGGCGACGAUCCAUAGCUGGUCUGAGAGGAUGAUCAGCCACACUGGGACUGAGACACGGCCCAGACUCCUACGGGAGGCAGCAGUGGGGAAUAUUGGACAAUGGGCGCAAGCCUGAUCCAGCCAUGCCGCGUGAGUGAUGAAGGCCCUAGGGUUGUAAAGCUCUUUCACCAGUGAAGAUAGUGACGGUAACCGGAGAAGAAGCCCCGGCUAACUUCGUGCCAGCCGCCGCCGUAAUAC